rnacentral:rRNA from 1 species
CCCUUAGAUGUCCUGGGCUGCACGCGCGCUACACUGAUGUGUCCAACAAGCACCUAACCUCUUCCGAAGGGAACGGGUAACCUUAGCAAAGCACAUCGUGAUGGGGAUAGAUUAUUGCAAUUAUUAGUCUUGAACGAGGAAUUCCUAGUAAGCACAAGUCAUCAGCUUGUGUUGAUUACGUCCCUGCCCUUUGUACACACCGCCCGUCGCUCCUACCGAUUGAAUGUUCCGGUGAAUACUUCGGACUGCGAGAUUUGCAGUCUCUGCGCUUCUUGCGGAAAGUUGAAUAAACCUUAACAUUUAGAGGAAGGAGAAGUCGUAACA